GACUAAGCUCCUAUAACAUUAGUCAAAAAACCAAGCAACGUUGGAUCCUUUUUGGAAACGUUCGGCACGGACCGGAGGCGUCACAGGAGGAGAGCGGCUGCCAGGCGUUUGAUCUGCUACCCGGAGGAUGUUGCAGAUUCGUGGCUAUUAUGCACGGGGGCUACCGUGCGAAGGCUAAAGCGGCUAGCAAGCAUCGGAUCAGCUGAUCACCGCCCGGCGCCCAACGCGUAAGGCAGAUAAGCCUGCAUCUCUGAUGGGUUGCUGAUCACUCAUGCUGUCCCAACAGAAAGGAAGAGGACAGGCCGAACACAAGGCUGCUCUCAAAUGAUGUCAGACAGACCCGAAACCUGCUGAUGACUCAUUUUUGUUGAACGUGAAAAUUCAGACAAAUAAGACAAAACCACUAAACCUGUCUCUCAGUUACUGCUGGCAUAAAAUCACAGACUUAAUCCUUUUGGUUACUUGCCACCAAACAAUAAAUGUCACAUAACGAGAAUAACAUAUAUGCUGUUCAAUGAAGAUGAUUUCUCUUUGUCCCUGAUUUCUUCUUCAAAGAAAGAGGGACUAAAUUACCGAUGUCCUGUUAUCUACUUUAUUACAAUCCUAUAAAGGCAGGUGUGAAUUAUUGUUCACUUUGGUUGGGCCUGGUUCCAGUCCCCCUGAGGAUGGGUGCAGCGCUGUGUUCCGUGAUCCUGGUUAUUUGGUUCCGUUGCCACCUGGGCGGUAACCAUGUCUGCAGUGGCAAGGGAUUCCCCUGAAAUGAUGGGCGAGGCAGCAGACACACCCCGCUGUCCAGUGCUGCAGAGAGACUGGCUGGGUGAGGGGCAGCUCUCUUCUCUGACUCGGCAUAAAUCGGGAAGGGGUGGAGCCGGGCCCCCUCUGGCAUUACCACACUACAGCCUGGUCCUAGAGAGCAGCAGCACACAGCGUGGCCUUUAAACAUACUGACAGCUUACUUGUUGACUCUGGGAGCCAAAGUGGAUGUGCAAAAAGUAGGAUCCACUAUCUUGCUUCCUUUACUAUUAAAUAAAACUGCCCUGUACAGCCUGGGCUCACACCGAGGCUACUGCCAGUCACACUGGUACUGUUAAUAAAAACAAAGAGACACAACUGUUAGAAACAAUAAGUCAUUCUGUCACCAUUUGUAGAGGCAAAUUUUAGAACUAUGAGACCAAGACUACUAGCUUCUUCAUAUAAUAGUAAAAUAAAUAGCCAAGGCCACCACAAAUUUGUAUAUUCUCACUAAAAAAAGUCACAGACACAAUAUGAACUCCUGCUCAUAUAUUACGGUCGUUGUUUUAAAUAAAGGAGAGUGCACCCUCACACAGCACCACACUCCUCCUGCCAGUGUGUCCAUUCCCUCCCCGGCCUUACAGUCCAGACAGUGCUCAUACAGAGAGAUGCAGCCUUUGUGAAGCCGUGAUAAAACGCUGCCUAUGAAAUGGUGCACUACGGGUGGGCCUGUGCUGCAUCUUGGCAGAUGCUGCGGCACGCCUCAGUGUGGGAACCUGCUGGAGGAGGUCGAGGACGCAGGGAUGCGGCUGCUACACAGCAUCGAUUAACACGGGCGCUCCCGUCAUGUUACAUUUUGCAGAUCACUUUCUUUCUUUCUUUCUUUGUUUUUCUUUUUUUUUUUUUUUUUUUUUGCUGCAAUAU